AAGUCGUAACAAGGUAACCGUAGGUGAACCUGCGGUUGGAUCAUUACUGAUUUCAGUUCCUACAGAGUUGAUACCCUCUCGGGAGUCCUCUGUAGGGAUGAUAUACCCCUUGUGCACCAUAUCGUUUUUUGGGUCAAACUGGCAGGAGGCUGGUAGCGAUACCGAGUCUUGCCGGCUGGCCCAGCAUUAUAAAAACCAAAUCAAUUUGUCUGAAAUCUAUAUGAAAAUAUAAACAACUUUUGACAACGGAUCUCUUGGCUCUC
rnacentral:misc_RNA from 1 species